GACAGAGGGUGCGAACGUUGCUCGGAAUUACGGGGCGUAAAGCGCGUGUAGGCGGGUGAUCAAGUCAGGUGUGAAAUCCCCAGGCUCAACCUGGGAACUGCACUUGAAACUGGUCGCCUUGAGUGUUGGAGAGGGAAGCGGAAUUCCUGGUGUAGAGGUGAAAUUCGUAGAUAUCAGGAGGAACACCGGUGGCGAAGGCGGCUUCCUGGACAAUUACUGACGCUGAGACGCGAAAGCGUGGGGAGCAAACAGG
rnacentral:rRNA from 1 species